rnacentral:rRNA from 1 species
GUGGGGAAUUUUGGACAAUGGGCGCAAGCCUGAUCCAGCAAUGCCGCGUGCAGGAAGAAGGCCUUCGGGUUGUAAACUGCUUUUGUACGGAACGAAACGGUCCGGGUUAAUACCCUGGGCUAAUGACGGUACCGUAAGAAUAAGCACCGGCUAACUACGUGCCAGCAGCCGCGGUAAUACGUAGGGUGCAAGCGUUAAUCGGAAUUACUGGGCGUAAAGCGUGCGCAGGCGGUUUUGUAAGACAGGCGUGAAAUCCCCGGGCUCAACCUGGGAAUUGCGCUUGUGACUGGAAGGCUGGAGUGCGGCAGAGGGGGAUGGAAUUCCGCGUGUAGCAGUGAAAUGCGUAGAUAUGCGGAGGAACACCGAUGGCGAAGGCAAUCCCCUGGGCCUGCACUGACGCUCAUGCACGAAAGCGUGGGGAGCAAACAGGAUUAGAAACCCGUGUAGUCC